UGUCAGGGAUGUCAACGGGUUGAAUUCGAGACAGGCUUUCAAAAAUCCGAACCCGAAUCCGACUCCAAACUCAAGAUUCAAAUCCGCACUCGAACCCGACGAAUUUUAAAAAUUCAUUUCCGAAUCCGAACCCGACGAAAAAUUUUGAAAUCCGAACCUGAAAAUCCGAGCUCGAAAUAAUUGCCUUUUUUUUUUUCAAUAUUUCAAAAUAUAUUAUAUUAAAUCUAUAUUUUUAAAAUACAAAUUCAAAUACAAUAUUAAAUUUUUACAUACAUAUUAUACUAUAUAUAAUGUAAAAUAAAUUCAGGUUCGGAUCAGAUUCAGGUCGGAUGCAAUCAAAAUUCAUAUCCGAAUCCAUAUUCGUAGUCAAAAUUCAUAUCUGAAUCCAUAUUCGUCGGAUUUUUGCUUUUCAUAUCCAUAUUCGAAACCAUAUCCGUUUAGCAUUGAAUAGAUUCGCUCCGUUCGGACUCGGGUUUAAAUAAAAUUUUAGGUAUUAACAAUCAUUGGCAUUCCUAGUCCUCCCCCAUUCAU
rnacentral:lncRNA from 1 species